rnacentral:misc_RNA from 1 species
GAAAUGCGAUAAGUAAUGUGAAUUGCAGAAUUCAGUGAAUCAUCGAAUCUUUGAACGCACAUUGCGCCCGCCAGUAUUCUGGCGGGCAUGCCUGUUCGAGCGUCAUUUCAACCAUCAAGCCCCGGGCUUGUGUUGGGGACCUGCGGCUGCCGCAGGCCCUAAAAAGCAGUGGCGGGCUCGCUGUCACACCGAGCGUAGUAGCAUACAUCUCGCUCUGGGCGUGCUGCGGGUUCCGGCCGUUAAACCACCUUCGUAACCCAAGGUUGACCUCGGAUCAGGUAGGAAGACCCGCUGAACUUAAGC